UUAUUUUGUGAAACUAGUAUUCUUCUGUCCCUUUCGGCAGAGCGAAUAAAUAUCGGAGAAACGAAUGGCUCGUAUUGCAGGUGUUAAUAUACCGGAU
rfam:Legionella oakridgensis ATCC 33761 = DSM 21215, complete genome.